CAGUCGCCGCGGUAAUACGUAGGGUGCAAGCGUUAAUCGGAAUUACUGGGCGUAAAGCGUGCGCAGGCGGUUGUGUAAGUCUGAUGUGAAAGCCCCGGGCUCAACCUGGGAACUGCAUUGGAGACUGCACGGCUAGAGUGCGUCAGAGGGGGGUAGAAUUCCGCGUGUAGCAGUGAAAUGCGUAGAGAUGCGGAGGAAUACCGAUUGCGAAGGCAGCCCCCUGGGAUGACACUGACGCUCAUGCACGAAAGCGUGGGGAGCAAACAGGAUUAGAUACCCCUGUAGUCCCUGUCUCUUAUAC
rnacentral:rRNA from 1 species